UACACUACGUCAGCGAGCUGCUGUCAACGUGAUGCAAAAAGAAGGUUGAACAUCGUUCAACAAAGGUUCGACUGUAAAACCCGUUGGCAAUUGUGCACUUUCACCACCCAAUUUAAGAGACCCGCAUCGAAAUUUACCCACCGUAAAACUGCAGGGAAAGGCCAUCAAAUCCCGGCCAGCCGCGCGCUCGCUACUCGUGUAGAAAUUUGUCGUCCGCCAAAAUAAAACAAUCCUUUAGCGCCAGGCCAGAGAGACACCGUUAUUUUUCAUACCGCAGCCCUUCCGUCCACAUCGCAGCAACCGAUUCGGUCGUCGGUGACACUUUUCAUCCAACGCCGCAGCCGCCACCGCCAACUUUGAUGUUGAUGUUAUUUGUUCGACUUCGGAUUUUGGUUGACUCCUCUCUUGACCAGUGCACGAUGAUCACUGUCCGUUCACCGUGAAGCGCUGUGGUCGCAUCCCUUUUCGGAUGGUUUGGUGACACCGUCGGUCAGUUAGCUUGUGGGUGUGUGUACAUAUUCAGCAUCAUCGUGGAGUGUCAACACACGGGGGGACCAGACCGGGAGAUUAUCUUUUGCGGUAGACCAGCGCGCACAGUUCUGCUGAGUGCGCGAUCUCUUCGUCUCGCGCGGCCUGCUAUGAUGUGAGGAGAGUCGUUGGCUAUCGGCGUCGAUGUCGUCGUCGUCGUCGCCGUCGGUCGUAGUCGUUGACUCUGCUGAUUCUGGUUCACGAGCAAUCUCGUAUAUCUCUGUCUGAGGGUGGUGUCGUUCUUCUCGCCUUCCCGCAGUAGGAGGAACGCUCUAGAAGUACGGUCCGGGUGCUACGAUCGAGAGGUAUUGAUCCGCGCGCGCGGUCGAUGGUUUUUGGUCCGCGAGUGACGAAUUCUUGUAUAACUGCAAUCUGGUGUGUGCUCCUCCAAACGGCACGAGAGUGGCAGUGGCAGUAGGCUGUGAAAUUGAUUUUUGCUGCGGCUGGCCAAAACGGAAGAAGCGCGCCGUCCGCGAUCGAAGACGGAAAAUUCGCAAGGGCAGUCGCGCCACUCUUGAGCCAGCGAUUUGUCAAUUUUUCACUUUUCCGCGCUGUCACGGAGACAGAGCGAGAGAGAGAGAGAGAGGGGGAGCGAGUGUGUGUGAAAAAUCGAGCGACCAAGUAGCAUUCGAGCAGAAAAAAAGUGUCGAUCACCAAAAAUAUACGUGUGACGUCGUUGGACUGAAGGCGAUUACGAGGACGACCAUCAACGCGAUUACGACGAAGACGACGACGUCGGUUCCGGAGCGGUGACGACGGGCGAGAGGGGGGAAGAGCGGGAGAACGAGCAAACGCGCGCGCGAGUGCCUGAAGUGGAAAUGUAAGGAGCCGAUCGAUCCGUGUAAAGUUCAGAGGGAAUAUAGCAGCAAUUAUUACCGUUUGGUGAUCCCCACAAAGUAGGCGCUUUGAAAUCCAACACCCGAUUUGUUUGCUGUUGACGGUACCGCCUGCUGCGACCGGGAUCGGCCGACCCGAGCAGGUCUCAGCAGGAAUGAGGGCAUCAUCGACGCAAGAACAACAUCGCCGGUUCAAGUACAAGCGCAGCUCGAUGUAAACAAGCCAUAAUUUGAAGUUUGUUGUAUCUGCCAGAAGUGACGUGUGCGCCCGUGUUCUUUCCUACACCCCCAAUCAAAGUAGACAAAGCAGCAGCAGCAGCCAUGGUAAUGGUCUCGUUGUUGUCUGAUGUGUGUAGUAGCGUCGCCGCAUGCUGCUGUGGGUAAUGGCAGAAGCUGAGAUGGCGCCGAUGAUCGCAGCAACCGCUGCCAUUGCAGUUGAACGCGCGGAGGAUCCUCGGCCCAGUGGGUCGCCAUUGUCCCGCCUACUGCGGCGGUGGGUGUGAUAAGGCAGUCAGUGCAUCAGUGCGACGGCUGAAAGUUUUUCCUCGAGUGUCGUUCACGUGUGAAAACAACGAUUUCAUCAGGAAAAAAAGUGAAAAAUCGAAAAUAAAAAUCCCACACAAUAGCAAGUGCGAAACGGUGCAAAAAUAGUGUCGCCUCUGGGCGAGCAAUAAUAGCGGAAGAGAGCAAAUCGGUGGAAAAUAGCUCCCGUUUGUGUGUUGUAAUUCCCGGCUUGGGCGGCUUUCGAAGUGAUUCAAAGUGCCUCGGAAAAGGGAGAAAAACCAAAGAAGAAAGUGUCAGUUUUAUUGUGCAUUGUCGUCGUGUCGGUUUGUGUCCCCACCGGAGGAUGAUGCCCAGGGGGAGAAAUUACACCCCCGAUCAUAUCAAAGUAGAGUAGAGUAGUUGAAGUAUACAUAGAGAGGAAGAGCGACGAGCGAGAAGAAUUUAAUUGAAAACGUAAGCGGCUUGCACUCGAUGGAUUAUCCAAAUGGCUUACAUUUCGACGCAACAGGGUGUUGUUUCGCAGGGAUUAAGAUCGAUAAUACCCCAACAACAACAACAGCAAUCAGAUUCAAACAACGACAGGUAAAUAUCAUCACCAAACAACAAACCAGCAACAACAUCAUCAACAGAGUAUUAUUAACAGCGGUGAACGAAAAUGAAAAUGAAAAAAACUCUGAACAAAGUAUGUCGUGCGUUCGGGGAAGGUAUCUCCAGCUGGUGCCAUCGCAUCGCGAUGAACAACACCACGGAACAUCAUCGCAUCGUAGCAAGCCGGCAGGCUAAUGAGGAUUGCGAUAGGAGCAGCGCGUCGCACAUGUGCUCGCGAUUUUUUUCGUUGUUCCAUUCCAUUUUUUUUUGCUCGAGGGAAAAAGCUUUUGCUGAAAAUUAAGUCACUUGCACGAUUCUUUCGGCACUUGACUCAGCCAGCAGUGAGCGAGCGAUGAUGGGGCGUUGCUUGCUGUUGUUGCUGUUUUUGGUGAGUGGGAAGUAAAUAGCAACCGAGUGCCGCAAAGACCGGCUCAGCGAACAAUAAUGGAUGGCGCUAGGGGUACAUUGUGUUCGAAUGACGGAGAAAAACAGUAGGUACCUACCUAAGUCUGCUCUGAAAGGAAUUCGUGCGUGGAAUGUUCAUUUCUUUGCAAGGGUAGGCGAAAUAGCUGGGUUAAUUCCUAGUAAAAAGUAACAUUGCUCUGUUGUUUGGGUUGAGCGGGGUGAAGAAGAAAAUUAAUGAGUUUCCAGUUUGUGAGGUCUUCCUUUCUUCUUUCAAGUCUCGUCGAUGGGAAAAAGUA